UUUUAUUUGUCACCGUGUUUUCUAAUUUCGUCCCUGCUGUUGUUAAAAAUCGAUUAACAAAAACCACGGCACGCUAUUCUUUGAUGGUGGACGUUCGCUUGGUCAUGGUCGCAUGCCAAAUGACCCAACUGCUCUCAGGUUCGACCUUGGCAAUUUCCUAGAGGGCUAACAACAUACCGGCAUCACUUAUGGAUUUAUCUUAUUUAAUCAACGCUAGAGAAAUAUUUAAAAAAACAAGUGACGGAAGAUUCUCUGGAAAUAUUAUUAGGAAGGGCAGUCAGUACAAUCACACGGUUGAACCAAAGCGUGUGCCAAGAAAACACGACCAAGGCUACAAUGACGUCCUCGACUGGACCAACAACAUACGAAAGAAAAAAGGUGGCAGUAGGCGAAUCCAUACUUUGUAUUUUACUAUCAGUUACAAAUAAGGAGAAACUUUAAUUGAUCACGAUGGAACCAUGGGACAUCGUGCUAUUAUACUUGGUGAAUGAUGGUUGGACAGCCUGCAAAACACGUAAAGGGAAGUAGUUUUUUUUUCCUGAAAUUUAUUAUUUGCUGUGUAUAUAUUAAAACUUACGACAGAUUUCACAAUGCUUCUCGUCUGUAUUAUCACCACAUCCGUCCUGGCCUGUGCAUAGGACCUGUAUAUAGGAAAAUGAUAUUACGCUAACAUUCCAUUCACGCUUUAUAGUUUUCUGUUUUUAGUUACAGCUGCACUUCUGCAUCUUCCAUUGGCGCAUUUGACGGGGCAAUACUCGCCGGACUUCUUUUUCCGAUAUUCCCGUUUGCAUGCUUUUUCUGGCUCAUCGCUACCAUCACUACAGUCAACAAUCGAAUUGCAAAAAGCGUGUUCCGGUACGCAGGUUCCGUCGUUACAUUUAAAACUGUUUCCUGGGCAAUCUGGAGUUUGUAAAACGGUAGGAAUACGCGUAUCAGUAUUACCGGUUUCAAGAGAUAUUAUCUAAUUCCUCUUUACCUUCGCCAUCUUCUACCUGACAUCGAUCUUCGUCUGAUCCGUCGGCACAAUGUUGAAUUCCAUCGCAAAUAAACAUUCCCGAUAUACAAUGAGCUCCACAGGGAAAAGAACCAGUUGGACAGGGACGUUGACGACAAUCGAUUUCAUCAGAUGCAUCCUCACAAUCAGCAUGCCCGUUACAAGUUAAUGAACGGCUGAUGCAACGUCCAGAAGACCUACACUGUUUAAUUACACCGGCCACCGUUAAUUAUCCUUUGAUUCUCGAACGGAUAUGGAUAUUGUUAUUCUUGGAGCAAACCUGGAAGGUGAGAGGAUGACAACCAGUGUUGUUUCUACCGCAUUGCAUUUCACCGGCGAUACACUGACAAUAGCCGUCGAUACAGCCGGAAUUGAAAUCAGCAGCUUGACAUUGAGCCCAUGAUGUACACGGCUGGCCGAUGCUCGCUCUCUGGUUGAAAUUAAGUUGGUUCUCGUUCAAACCUGUUAAUUGACAUGUAGAAUUAACAUACAAAAUCGUGGCCAACAUUCAAAAGUAGAUGCAUUUGAAAAAAAAAAAAAAACCUUUAAGAGUGGCAACACAUCGAUUGUCGGUCCAACCGAUAGUGAAUCCGUAGUCGCAAACGCAAGUAGAGUCGUGACACAAGGAAUUUUUAAUAUGAGCUUUACAUUCGGCAGAAGUGGAACACCGUGAACCGAUAACUAAGAGAAAGAUGAAGACAAUGUGUUUUUUGUUUGAAUAGUAUCGUGUACAAUAAAUUAACAGUACCUAGUCGUGGCUUGAUGCAACUUUGGCCAAAGUGCUCAGCUGAUUCGUCGCAAUAGCAACGACCAUAUACAUUUGGAAUGAUGAACUUGCAGUAGGAAUGUUUAUCAGAUAAACGGCAUUGAUCGUCACCGAAGCAUUUGUGUCCUAAACGUGCCGCUGUGUUCAGGUAAAAAUGGAUUCAAUUUAGAUCUAACCCCAAACAAAUUUUAAUUCAAGUUGACGAACGUGGAAGACAAAGAUGACGACGAUAAGGAGCAUAGCCCCUGCUACAUUGACAUGUCCCAUCUAUGCAUCCUGAAUUGGGUACGCGUAAACUGCACUGAGAAUGAGCAAAGCAUUCAAAUCCGAGUAGAGCAGCUACAAUCAGAGCAAAACGGUUAACGGUUGUGGCAUUUUGAGCCAUGUGAAAUGGCAGACAUGUGCAGACGCCAUGAUGGCAAACGCUAUCGCGAUUUCCACGCCGACAGGCACCACUCGAAACACAAGCUUCUCCCAAGUAACGUGUACUGCUGAUGUCGUUGUGUUCAAGUGUGUACCUUUCUGUCCUGUUUGUUUCUCGUUCCACUAAUUUUCCUUUGGACAGACCUACCUACAGGUAACGAACUUUUCUUACUUGCCCAAACAUUUGAAUACAGAGUUUACAUGGUGAAAAGUGAUUAUAAUGAACUUGAAUUUUUAAAAAGCUAUUAAAACUUCUGCAAA